GCCGAUACCAGAAGAAGUAUGUUGCUGAAGAGUAGUUGCAGGAGAGAGUCACGCCGUCUCCUUGUAGAGCCUGGACUGGACUGUCCUGGAUUGAGUGGAUGGUUUGCUGAUAACCUGCAUAUGUUAAGAAUGAAAGUUCCACCUCCAGCUAGAGUGGCACCAAGGACUGAAUGAGACAGGAGAAGACCUUCUACUAUACUGGCUCUGUGGAGACCAUGAGGACUCAGGAAGAGGAGCACCAGGAGCUUGACAGGUGGAGUUCCCAGCAUCAGACCUGGAAAAAGUCUAAAUAAAAAAUAUGUUACAUUGACAUGGACCAUAAAGAACACACCAGG